rnacentral:rRNA from 1 species
UACGAAGGGGGCUAGCGUUGCUCGGAAUCACUGGGCGUAAAGGGUGUGUAGGCGGGUCUUUAAGUCAGGGGUGAAAUCCUGGAGCUCAACUCCAGAACUGCCUUUGAUACUGAAGAUCUUGAGUUCGGGAGAGGUGAGUGGAACUGCGAGUGUAGAGGUGAAAUUCGUAGAUAUUCGCAAGAACACCAGUGGCGAAGGCGGCUCACUGGCCCGGUACUGACGCUGAGGUGCGAAAGCGUGGGGAGCAAACAGG